GACGAACGCUGGCGGCGUGCCUAACACAUGCAAGUCGAACGGAAAGGCCCUGCUUUUGUGGGGUGCUCGAGUGGCGAACGGGUGAGUAACACGUGAGUAACCUGCCCUUGACUGUGGGAUAACUUCAGGAAACUUGGGCUAAUACCGGAUAGGAUCUCCUGCUGCAUGGUGGGGGUUGGAAAGUUUCGGCGGUUGGGGAUGGACUCGCGGCUUAUCAGCUUGUUGGUGGGGUAGUGGAUUACCAUGGCUUUGACGGGUAGCCGGCCUGAGAGGGUGACCGGCCACAUUGGGACUGAGAUACGGCCCAGACUCGUAUGGGAGGCAGCGGUGGAGAGUAUUGCACAGUGGGCGGAAGCCUGAUGCAGCAACGCCGCGUGCGGGAUGACGGCCUUCGGGUUGUAAACCGAUUUCGCCUGUGACGAAGCGUGAGUGACGGUAAUGGGUAAAGAAGCACCGGCUAACUACGUG
rnacentral:rRNA from 1 species